GGUUAUUCGUUGUAUUUUAAAAUUUCUGCUGUGUCCAUAGUUCCUUUGUUUUGGGCUUCAUAGCUAACAGCUGCUAGUCCGCCCAUCUUUCAGGCGAGAAGAUUCAGUGUAGAAGAGGGAAAAUGACGGUAGCAGCAGGGAUCGGAUACGCUCCGCUUGCUUGAUCCUCACCGUUCUCUCCAGUACGCUGUUAUGGCUGUAAGUCUCAUUGUGCUAUCGGGAGUUUGGACUUUGGAGGGCCUUUCUUCCUCUAAAAUUAAUAGCAUUUCCAGGAAGGGCUUCGGGUUCUGUUUUGGAAAGUUUACAAGUAAUUUCAUGCUUUAUAUCCUUGUAGUUUUUCUUAGUCUGGUUUUUGUUGGCAUUAAAUGUAACUUGGGCUUAAUGUGCAUUUAAGCACAUUCAUUCCUUGGAGCAUUAGUUUGGCAUUAGCAUAGUGGAAGCACCUUUUUAAUGGAAUGUGAUCCAUGUGCUUGUUAAUUGUAUGUUAUGUUCACAAUUGAGGCUAUAUCCCUGAUGAAAACAUGUGCUUUUAGUGAAAUUUUCAUAUUUACUGCGAGAUUUUGUAUUCCUAUGAUGGAUAAGAUUGGACUUUGAAGUUAUUUGGUUCUGCAGGUAAAAUUCAUUAUUUGGAUUUAAUUGAGAGAUCUUCUUGACCAUUCUUUAAUAAAAUAAAGUGAAUGUGGGGCAAGAAAGAAUAUACUGUUGUUCAAGGCUUAUCAUGAACAUUUCACAAAAUUUGCAAGCUUGAAAGAAUCUGUAAGUACAAACGCCUGCAGCUGCUAGUUAUAUAUCUGUUGAAAUUUUGUCAAUAUUUUCCAGUUUCUUGCAAUUGGCAUAGUUAUAUUCACGUGGUUAAGCUUCCCUCCACCCCCUUCAUGUUGCAAAACAUGAACACUCACUUUUUUACCUUCUUUAAUUUUUAACCUUAAUAUAUGGUGUCUAUGAUGGAUAUACAUAUGGAUAUUGGGUAAAUAUGUGGUGAAGAACUUAUUUUUUAGAAUCCUCCAUAGAUACUGAAGUCUGUGAUAUCCUUUACAUAAUUUUCUUUUGGCUUUUGUAACAUCUUUUUGUUGGGGACUUAUAAUAAGUGGUUGGAACAGAUUCUUUUGCUGAUAGGGUCUCCAAACCACGCUUAUUUCUGACAGAUAAGAUGCUGAUUGCUUUAGCUGGUGGUUUAGGUCAUGGUGUAGCCCAUGCUGUGUUUUUCUGUCUUAGCCUUUUAACACCAGCAUUUGGCCCAGCGACAUUCUUUGUUGAUAGUUGUUCACAGAUUCCA
rnacentral:misc_RNA from 1 species